GUAGGUGGCAAGCGGUUGUCCGGGAAUUAUUGGGGCGUAAAGCGCGCGCAGGCGGUUCUUUAAGUCUGAUGUGAAAGCCCACUGCUCAACCGUGGAGGGUCAUUGGAAACUGGAGAACUUGAGUACAGAAGAGGAGAGCGGAAUUCCACGUGUAGCGGUGAAAUGCGUAGAGAUGUGGAGGAACACCAGUGGCGAAGGCGGCUUUCUGGUCUGUAACUGACGCUGAGGCGCGAAAGCGUGGGGAGCAAACAGGAUUAGAUACCCUGGUAGUCCACGCCGUAAACGAUGAGUGCUAAGUGUUAGGGGGUUUCCGCCCCUUAGUGCUGCAGCUAACGCACUAAGCACUCCGCCUGGGGAGUACGGCCGCAAAGGCUG
rnacentral:rRNA from 1 species